rnacentral:lncRNA from 1 species
CAGGACCCUUUUCAUCAAAACAAUAAUGGUGUUUAGUACUUGCUACUUGCAAGGGCAGCCUAAAUCAGGUCUGUGUGGCUGCAACACAGGAAGAAACCUUCACUGAAGAAGGGCGCUACCAUUACUCGAUUCUCUCUAAGUUGUUCAAAUACCAUGCAGGAAACUGACUGUUAUGAGUAAGACCUGGAAAGGAAAAUGACACCAGAGAAGCACAAAGAAUGUUGAUUACCUGUUUAUAUGACAACUGGACCAUCGGCUUGUGGUACAGUGUUGUGUAUUACUUCUUCUAAUGCAUCAGCAACCCCUCAAAUGACCCAAAGAACAUUGAAAGCCACAACCACUGUUCAAAAUAUUGUCUUCCUACAAGUCUACCUGAAAUUUCCCAGCAUUGGGAGUUCCCAUCCUUUGGAUUUUCUGCCCAACACAAUGAAACAGUGUGGAAAAGAUGGUUCAUGGAGCACUGUGGGAACAAAUGAUCGUGGUGGCUG